UUGUCGGGCUUCCAAUGCACAAGCGUUGGAAAUAGUGGGACCACUGAUACUAUUACAAGUGUGGGCUUUAAUAAUGAUUUCCAAUCGUAGCACCACAAGUAACAACUACAGGCCCCAGAUCAUCGGCCACUUAGUGUCAGGUUAUUUGGACAGCAUACUCACAGAUUUGGUCAUCAUUACCUGAUUAUUGUCGUGAUGAUGAAGACAUCUGGUUGACUGUUAGCCCUCUUAUAUGCUUCCAUAUAGUAGAGUGGUAUCAUCCAGAACGUGUGCUGAGAUAGUUCUGAUACGACAAACGAUACCUUCGUUGUCCUAUACACUCCCAGAAUUACACCAGAUCGAUUUAAGGGGCAAGCACGACCAAGACUGGCGUCGAAUCCAUGCGGAGUAUUUAUCCUACUGGCAUGGAUGACGUGAUCGUUGUGCACAGGGAGAAUUAACAGAUGGGUCAGCUGUAUCAGAUGACUACUUUUCCUAGUACAAUUCGAUCACGAGGCGAUUUAUCUCACCAGACGGCACUUACUAUUACUACAUGAAUAAUUUUAUCGGCGACGUUCAAUAAUACUUAUAUACCGGGUACACGAGUUCACUUGACCGAUCAACCAGUCGUCAGCUGACUGGAUUAAAUGGGCUCCUGUAUCGGGUAUACGAGUAUGCCACAUAGAAAUCGUGUACCGGGUACACGAUUUCACUACCCUAGAUCUGUUAAUACUUUUCCAAAACACCUAUUUAUGAAAAUAUUUCCCCUCCAACCCUAUUUUUGUCAUUAUUUAUUAAAAAAAUUAUUUUUUAAAAAAAUUCAAGAUUGGGGGUUAACUUUAACAAUAACGUAAUUUCUUAAGGUAAUGGCAAAAAUAGGGUACAUAGUAAAAAAAAAAAAAAAAACUUUAAAAGUAGAAUUAAAGGGAAAAGUAUUGACCAGCACAAUUGGUGCAAUGAUACACGAUUUAGAUUUCUUUAAUUUUUAUUUAAAAAAUUUCUUUCUUAUUUGAUUUAGUGUCUCAAGAUAAAAGGUAAUUUUAUCAAUUCUUUUAUUUCAAAAUAGAAGUUCACAUGAAGCUAAAAGUUUGAAUUACAAGCUAAAAUUAUCUCUCAAAUUUUCACCUGGUGGUCGUCUUUGUAUUCCUCUGGAUUAGUUUUGCCUUAUUGUCGUUGUUGUCUACAACGAAUACGUCUUCGAUCAGUGUCAGCAACAAUGAGUCGUCUUGUCUACUGAAUAGUAUGUCCUACAUUACCAAGUUUUGUUCAUACACUAAACUCAACUCUAGUAAAUUGUGUUGUACUAAAUAUUGUUGUACAUAUUGGACAAAAUUAUUAUGUAUGAUAAAAAAAUAAUACUGAAUAAUGUUCAUAUCAUACAUUUGAUAUACAUAACAUAAUAAAACUCUUACCAUGCAGUAAUAGUAAGCGUCGUAUGGUGUGAUAAAUUGCAUCUUGAUUGAAUCGUACCAAGAAAACUAGUCAUCUGAUAUUGUUGGUCCAUUUGUCAAUUUUCCUUAUGCACAACGAUCAUGAUGUGCACAUUAGUAUUAUAUAUAUUUUGCAUAAAUUCAACGUCAGUCUUGGCCGUGCUUAUCUCUCAAAUCAAUCUGGUUUAGUACCGAUAGUGUAUGGCACAAUGAUGGUACUAUUUAUUGCGGACUAAACUGUCUCAACACACGAUUUGGUUGAUGUCAAAAUAAAUCAGCGGAAACUCAAAAUAAGGAAAGAAAGAUUUUUCCUAACGCCUAUCUUUGGCACUUAAGACUUGAUCACAUAAAUCUCAAUAGGAUUGAGAG